UAGGCAGGUUAACAAGAAUGUUGAUGGUGUUCUGGUAUCUGUCAAGGAGGCUGUAGAAUGUACACAAAUAUGAUACAGAACUCACCAGGGGUAGGCAGGUUAACAAGAAUGUUGAUGGUGUUCUGGUAUCUGUCAAGCAGGCUGUAGAACCCGCUCUUGUCAAACACCAUCUCCCUGUCUGGCGCGGGGCACCCUGGGUCUAUGUACACCUGAAA